CAGAGACUUUUUAAAUGUCUUGGACCAGUAUUUCUCUCACCAUUUCUUAAGGAGCUCUAUUUGAAUUAAGAUAAUAUUGUUUACAUGUUUGUCCAUUCCAAAUCUCAUGUUGAAAAGCAAUCCCCAAUGCCAGCAGUGGGACCUAGUGGGAAAUCUUUGAGUCAUGGUGGCAGCUCUCUCAUAAAAGUCUUGGUGACAAGUCAAGAGUAUUAAGGGAAAUGUGAACAAGUUGUGAGUGAUUCAGCUAUUCUCCUCCAGACAAAGUGGCACAGUUCUUCAGCCUUGGGACUUGAACUGGAUUCCUUGCUCAUCUUGCUGAUGGCCUCUUGUGGGACCUUGGGUUCAUGACUGGCUCUUCAUAUGGCAGAACUUCUCCAUCUGGAAUACCAUAAUCAGAAUGGGUGCUACUCUUCCCAAGGCAAAAUCACCGUUAAAGUAUAUCCUGGAUAACUGGGAACAGUAUGACCCAUAAUCUUUGAAAAAGAAGCGGCUCAUUGUUUUCUGCCAAAUAGCAUGCCUGCAAUACCAUCUGCCAACUGGAGAAACCUGGCCCCCUGACGGAAGUAUCAAUCAUAGCACCCUUCUACAAUUAGAUCUUUUCUAUAAGAGGGAAGAUAAAUGGAUUGAGGUCCCCUAUGUACAAGUUUUCUUUUCUCUAAGGGAUAAUCCUCAGCUCUAUAAGGCUUGUAACCUAUGUCCUCUGGCCCCUCCUCAGGACUACCCCCAUUUCCAGGAUACAGACAUAUUCUUAACCUUUUGUGGGAGGAAAUGCAAAGUCACAGGGCAAAUACUGUAGAUGUAGGAAGAGGAGAAGAAAUAGAGAUGAUUACACUCUCUACCACCUUCUACUAUAUAAGCAUAUAGACAAAAAUGGUAUACAUUGCCUCUACCUAAGACAUUUAAUGAAGCAUAAAAUCUAAAACCUCAAUGACCAUUGAAAAGGAUAUCUUAUAUGCACUUCAGACAUUUGUAAAAUAUUACUGGCAAGCUAAUUGAAGCUUCCAUAUAGUAAUAAACUUUUUACAGGAUACUUUUCCUAUACUGGUAAUUUCCAAAUUAUCUUUAAUGUCAGAAUCACAUGGAAUCUAUGUUACAUAAAAUAUUGAUGCCGGAAAUUUUAUUGAACAGGCAUUAUUUCAUAUUACAUAUUUAGUUGUCUACAAAAAGCUUGCUGCUCUCUGGCUAACGAAAGCCAGGGACUAUCCAGUACACACAGAAGAGGAUAAACAGAUACAGACAGAAGCUGCUCAGUUGCUUACAAGUUUCAGUGACAAGAAUUGAGAACUUUUCAGAGAUGUUUGAAAUAGCUAAUAAACACUGCCUUUUCGUUGAAUUAUAAAGUUCGCAUAUGAAGCAUAACUGUUCUAUGGCUUUUGAAAUGUUGUGACCAUUUAACAGUAUAAAUAUAAAAAAUUCUAGGUUUCUUCACAAAUAAUAAGGUAAGAGAAAUAAUUGCUUUAAGAGUGGUAGAACGAAAUCUCCAUGGCUCAGGCAGAGAGAUUAUUUUGCAUCUUGGAUAGCAGCAAUGCAAAACAGGGCUCAGAUUUUUGUGUUUUUAACAUGUCCUCAGAUGAUACUGAUAUUCAGCAAUAAUUAAAAACUAUUGGUCUAUGAUACAAUUUAGUGAUGUAAUAAAUAUAUAUUAA